UCUGCCUCAAAUCGCAGCCAACUUGCGCGCUUUCGUUGAUUCUACGAAAUCGUCUUUGCUUGCCAUUCCUCCAGUAUAUUUUAGUUACUUUUCCAUCGUGCCACGUUAUUCCGUGCUAGCUACGACGAUAACACGAUAUCCUUUUUCCCGCGUUUCCGUUUGUUUUUGUUUCCGUUUUUGUAGUCAUUUCCGCUUCCGGUUUCGUUUUCAUUCGGCCGUCUGCGUCGUGGCUCGUUUCUUUUUUCUCCACGAGGAGACAACGUGGCGAGCGUAGUCGCGGAAACGGGAUAAUCUUCGUCUCAUGUUCGUUCUUCCGAGUAAAGUUUUAGUCGCACGUUCGAUCCACUUGCGCUCGAUAACGUUUCAUCUUUUCAAUCCGUAAUUUCCGUGUUUUCCGACCUCGUGGCUUCCCCUUCCAUUCUUUCCCCUUCCCCUCCCUUUCCUCCGCCGUCUUUUCGCGCACGCUUCACUGUGUCGCGAAGGUGGCAGAUGGACGAAAAGAGAAACCAAUAGCAGGAGAAGGUCGAACAGAGAGAGAGAGAGAUGCCGCCGCGUUGCGGGAAGAAGGAAGGAAAAGCGAGCGAACUGGGACCCGAGCGAGAAAGAGCAGAAGGAACGAAGCGGGAGACUGGUGGGAGCGAGCGAGCAUCGACAGGGGGAAGGGGAGAAAGAGAGAGAUAGAACAGGGAAUCCACGAGCGAUCGACUGCCCUAGUCAGUCCUCGUCCGUCUGCCGGUCGGUCGUUUACGUCUAUGUUUGACAGCUUGUGAAUUCGCGUCACUCGAGCUUCGACCAGCCAGUGCUUCGUCUGUGUGUGAGUGGAUGUGUAUGUGUGCCGUCUCAUCUACCUACACGCUCGAUUAAAAAAAUGAAUUCCUUCUCGACCGACUUGCCGAUAUCAAUCGGGACUUUUCUCUUUUUCCUGGAUCGUUCGAUCUUUCGAAUCGAUGCCGCGCAUCGAUAUUUUCCGAUCAUUCUAAAAGACACUUUUAUCCGUUCACGCUAGUUACCGGACUUGGACGAUUCUACGAUUUUCAAAGGAAAAGAAGAUCUCGGAUAGAAAGUCGUAGGAAACGUUUGGCUGAGACAUUCUGUUAGCCGUUUAAACCCACGUUCCACGCAGUUGAUAGAGAGUCGCGCGAGUAUACGCGUGCCAGAAGCAAGAUGAUGAAACUGAGAAAGUUAGAAAAUGACGGAGUUGAUCGCAGGCUUCUGAGAGUUGGCUACCUACCGUUUGCAACAUGCAGCAACAGCAGGCGAGAAAAAGUUGUUGGUCGUUGGUUGGCUCGGUGAGGACGCAGCUUAAUAGACGCAGGAUCACGCGUCGAAAGUUUCGGGCGAUCAGUGAACUUGAAAGCGGUACGAUGAUGAAUCCGCGAAAGUAGGAGCAACGACCACGCGAAGGGAAUGCUGUUCGACUUCCACGCGCGCGCGUUACGUGACAAUAUGCCCUGGAAGCUCCGUUUUCUGGCUAAACUACCGAUGCGAACGAUGCCAUCGUGCGCGCGCGCUAAUCGUUCGUAGAAAGUUCAGCAACCUCUGCCGACGUUUCGUCUCGUGGCCCUCUUUCUCCUUCCUUGCCUCUCUCGAUAGCCAACUACUUCGAUCGGCGUACCGAGCGUAUUUAACGCUCGAUUCCAUGACGAGCUUCCUGUGCCACGGAACGAGCUGCCAUUCCUCACCGAUACCGUCGCUACGUUAGAACGUGUCGCGAAUUUCGUGGAACGGUGAACGGUCGACCUUGUAAGCCCGACUAGAAAGCUAUACACAGGGUGUUCCAGUAUUGAUGGUAGAAUCGAGCAGGGGCUGGUUCCAUAUUUCAAAAAUGGAUCGAAAAUAUGGAAUACAUUUUUUUUUUUCUUUUUCUUUUCUAUUUCAGGCUUGCAAAUCAUUUCGGACUUGAUUUUCGAGAAAACUGUCUUUGAAAGCCUUGGUUUAAAGAAAGUGGAAUUUUCUCCGCGUUCCAUUAAGAAUUGGGUUGCUUCGCGCGUGCUCGAUCAUCGAGUUUCGUGUUUCGUUUGCGAGAAAACGAAACAUCCUACGAAAAAUAUUGUUUAUUAUCUACUUUGUUUUCAUUUUAGGCUUGAUUUUCGAGAAAACUGACUUUGAAAACCUGGUGGAAUUUUCUCCGCGUUCGAUUAAGAAUUGGGUUGGUUCGCGCGUGCUCGAUCAUCGAGUUUCGUGUUUCGUUUGCGAGAAAACGAAACAUCCUACGAAAACUAUUGUUUAUUAUCUACAUUUUUUUUCAUUUCAGGCUUAAUUUUCGAGAAAACUGACUUUGAAAGCCUAGUUUUAAAGAAAGUGGAAUUUUCUCCGCGUUCCAUUAAGAAUUGGGUUGGUUCGCGCGUGCUCGAUCAUCAAGUUUUCUCGCAAACGAAACAUUCUACAAAAAGUAUUGUUUAUUAUCUACAUUUUUUUUCAUUUCAGGCUUUAUUUUCGAGAAAACUGACUUUGAAAACCUGGUGGAAUUUUCUCCGCGUUCGAUUAAGAAUUGGGUUGGUUCGCGCGUGCUCGAUCGUCAAGUUUUCUCGCAAACGAAACAUUCUACGAAAAGUAUUGUUUAUUAUCUACUUUGUUUUCAUUUCAGGCUUGAUUUUCGAGAAAACUGACUGUGAAAGCCUGGUUUUAAAGAAAGUGGAAUUUUCUCCGCGUUCCAUUAAGAAUUGGGUUGGUUCGCGCGUGCUCGAUCAUCGAGUUUCGCGUUUCGUUUGCGAGAAAACGAAACAUCCUACGAAAACUAUUGUUUAUUAUCUACUUUUUGUUUUCAUUUCAGGCUUAAUUUUCGAGAAAACUGACUUUGAAAACCUGAUGGAAUUUUCUCCGCGUUCGAUUAAGAAUUGGGUUGAUUCGCGCGUGCUCGAUCAUCAAGUUUUCUCGCAAACGAAACAUUCUACAAAAAGUAUUGUUUAUUAUCUACAUUUUUUUUCAUUUCAGGCUUUAUUUUCGAGAAAACUGACUUUGAAAACCUGGUGGAAUUUUCUCCGCGUUCGAUUAAGAAUUGGGUUGGUUCGCGCGUGCUCGAUCGUCAAGUUUUCUCGCAAACGAAACAUUCUACGAAAAGUAUUGUUUAUUAUCUACUUUGUUUUCAUUUCAGGCUUGAUUUUCGAGAAAACUGACUUUGAAAGCCUAGUUUUAAAGAAAGUGGAAUUUUCUCCGCGUUCGAUUAAGAAUUGGGUUGGUUCGAGUUUCAUUUUCUCGCAAGCGAAACAUCCUACGAAAAGUAUUGUUUAUUAUCUACAUUUUGUACUUAUUUCCACGCGUAGAACAAAUUCUUAUCGAUUCUUCGCUUCCAUCCAGGCCGUUAUUAGCCAAGUUCCAAUGUUUUUGACAAAUUUUCAAAUACGAUGCAAAGUCUCGAUAGCGUGGUCCCGCGAACAAAAUCUUAUUCUAUAUUUUUGAUUUGUUCUUUUUUUUUUCCACCUUCUUGGAUCACCUUCUUGCCGAUUGUACCGUCAAUACCGGAACAUCCUGUAUGCCGUGCUAAAGCGAUCCUCGUUCGCGAUGCUUCGAAUUUGCCCUCCUUUCGUAUCGCACACAUAAUCGUUCCUGCUUUUCUCGACACUCCUUUUCACUCGUUUCAUCCCGCGUAAUAUUCCUCUCGACUAGUUGCUCUUCGGUUCUCCGUCUCGCUCAUUGUCCACGCUUAUUCACCGCGAUGCGCUGUUUCGCUCGUUCAAUUACGCACUUCGUCGGAAUGCCGAGGGAGAAACGAAUUCCAAGAGUGGCAGCCUUGUCAAGGUGUUACCCGCGCCACUCCUGCAUGGAAAAAGUUUUCUACUACGUAAAAUAAGGAAAAUACAGUUCGUACAUGUAUGGGGAGAAAUGCCAAAAGACAAUUGGAUGAUAGAAGUAGCUUCGAGUAUUUGAAACGCAAUUUUUAUUUUCGAUGUUACUUAUUUUGUAUUCGUAUGUAAUUAUGAUUUUAUAUAAGGUAUUCAAUUAAGUAAUUGUAUGAUAAGAGGCAUACGUUAUAUCGUAUCACAUUACGUUAUAAAGUUGAAAUCAACCAUUGUAUACUCCAUUGUACGUUACAUUAUCUUAUAUAAAUAAAAAA